rnacentral:rRNA from 1 species
CACGGGUGAGUAACACGUAUCCAACCUGCCGUCUACUCUUGGACAGCCUUCUGAAAGGAAGAUUAACACAAGAUGGCAUCAUGAGUUCACAUGUUCACAUGAUUAAAGGUAUUCCGGUAGACGAUGGGGAUGCGUUCCAUUAGAUAGUAGGCGGGGUAACGGCCCACCUAGUCUUCGAUGGAUAGGGGUUCUGAGAGGAAGGUCCCCCACAUUGGAACUGAGACACGGUCCAA